rnacentral:rRNA from 1 species
AUGGAUAUACACCCAUCUAUUGUGUGUUGGAACGUGCGAGGUUUAAACAAUCCAGUGAAGAGGAAGGCGAUCAAGGAGUUUCUAGACACCACCAAAGCUAGCUUAGUUUGCCUUCAAGAAACUAAGAUGGAUGUAAUAGAUUCCUUUGUUGUAAUGCAAUGCAUGGGACCGUCAUUUGAUGGAUUCGCGUACUUGCCGGCGAUUGAGACUCGUGGUGGUAUUCUUUUGGCGUGGAACUCAUCGGUGAUAGAUGUCCAUAACCUACAAAUGGACACUAAUUCUCUCACUGGCAUGGUAUGCCCAAGGAUGGGAAUGGCAUGGUGGAUUACUGUUGUGUACGGGCCGCAAGGCGAUGCCAGGAAAACUAACUUUCUUCAAGUGUUGACCCAGAGAAGGAGGCUUUGUCAUGGGCCGUGGAUGGUUCUUGGCGACUUUAACAUGAUCUUAAGAGCCUCAGAGAAGAACAAGGUGAAUAUCAAUAGGAACAUGAUGAAUAGGUUCCGGCAGUUUGUGGAUGACCAGGAGCUUAAGGAGUUGUACAUGCACGGACGCCUGUUCACAUGGACGAACAAAACGGACAACCUGACCUUAACUAAAAUUGACAGAGUGCUUAUCACAGUGGAUUGGGAGAUGGACUACCCGGACUGCUUACUCCAAGCUCUGUCCACUGGUGUUUUGGAUCAUGCGCCUCUUUUUCUAACAACAUGUGCGCCUUUUUCUUAG